GCUCUGUUGUAAGGGAAGAAUAGCAAGGAUAGGAAAUGAUCCUUGUCUGACGGUACCUUACCAGAAAGCCACGGCUAACUACGUGCCAGCAGCCGCGGUAAUACGUAGGUGGCAAGCGUUAUCCGGAAUUAUUGGGCGUAAAGCGCAUGUAGGCGGCUUUUUAAGUCUGGUGUGAAAGCCUGUGGCUCAACCACAGAAUUGCAUUGGAUACUGGAAAGCUAGAAUCUUGGAGAGGUAAGUGGAAUUUCAUGUGUAGCGGUGGAAUGCGUAGAUAUAUGAAGGAACACCAAUGGCGAAGGCAGCUUACUGGACAAGCAUUGACGCUGAGAUGCGAAAGUGUGGGUAGCAAACAGGAUUAGAUACCCUGGUAG
rnacentral:rRNA from 1 species